UACGAAGGGUGCAAACGUUGCUCGGAAUUAUUGGGCGUAAAGCGCACGUAGGCGGCUUUUCAAGUCGGAUGUGAAAUCCCUCGGCUUAACCAAGGAAGUGCAUCCGAAACUGGAAGGCUUGAGUACUUAAGAGGAUCGCGGAAUUCCCGGUGUAGAGGUGAAAUUCGUAGAUAUCGGGAGGAACACCAGUGGCGAAGGCGGCGACCUGGACGGACAUUGACGCUGAGACGCGAAAGCGUGGGGAGCAAACAGG
rnacentral:rRNA from 1 species